rnacentral:rRNA from 1 species
GAUGAACGCUGGCGGCGUGCCUAAUACAUGCAAGUCGAGCGAAGCGGGGACGGGUGAGUAACACGUGGAUAACCUCCUAUAAGACUGGGAUAACUGCGGGAAAACGGAGUUAACCCGGUUACUCAUAGAUGAAUCAGCGGGGCAGUAGCUAGUUGUUAAGGUAACGGCCUACCAAGGCAACGAUGCAUAGCAGACCUGAGAGGAGGAUCGGCCCUACUGGCACUGAGGAACGGUCCAGACUCCUACGAGAGGCAGCAGUGGGGAAUCUUCCGCAAUGGGCGAAAGCCUGACGGAGCAACGCCGCGUGAAUGAUGAAGGUCUUCGGAUCGUAAAACUCUGUUAUUAGGGGAGCGGUACCUAAUCAGAAAGCCCCGGCUAACUACGUGCCAGCAGCCGCGGUAAUUC